GAUGAAGAACGCAGCGAAAUGUGAUAAGUAAUGUGAAUUGCAGAAUUCAGUGAAUCAUCGAAUCUUUGAACGCACAUUGCGCCCGCCAGUAUUCUGGCGGGCAUGCCUGUUCGAGCGUCAUUUCAACCAUCAAGCCCCAGGCUUGUGUUGGGGACCUGCGGCUGCCGCAGGCCCUGAAAACCAGUGGCGGGCUCGCUGUCACACCGGGCGUAGUAGAUUUUAUCUCGCUCAGGGCGUGCUGCGGGUCCCGGCCGUUAAAAGCCUUUUUUUACCCAAGGUUGACCUCGGAUCAGGUAGGAAGACCCGCUGAACUUAAGCAUAUCAAUAAGCGGAGGA
rnacentral:misc_RNA from 1 species